rnacentral:rRNA from 1 species
UACGGAGGGUGCGAGCGUUGUCCGGAAUCAUUGGGCGUAAAGGGCGCGUAGGUGGCCCGGUCAGCGUGCGGUGAAAGCUCGGGGCUCAACCCCGAGUCGGCCGUGCGAACUGCUGGGCUCGAGCACUGUAGAGGCAGGCGGAAUUCCGGGUGUAGCGGUGGAAUGCGUAGAGAUCCGGAAGAACACCGGUGGCGAAGGCGGCUCACUGGCCCGGUACUGACGCUGAGGUGCGAAAGCGUGGGGGAGCAAACAGG